rnacentral:lncRNA from 10 species
AGCCCUGUGAAUUCUUACCAUGCGGUAGGUGUGCUGAAAUAACAUGAGAUAAACAUGCAAAGCAAUAUACUUAUUUGAUCUCUUAUUACAGAGUGGGCGUCUAGAGUUAUCCUGAGAUUCAAUAGCUAUUUCUCAACAUAUGCACACAGUGAUCAAACUAUUCUUAGCAAGCAUACAGCUGCAGGGAGGAACUAGCCACAUUGACUUCAGCCAGAGGAGAGUCAUGUAGGGGAAGAGGAGUGGAGGCCCUGGGCUUGGUGAAGACUGAAAGUGAACUUUUGGGAAACGUCUCAGUGUAGCCAUCAUUGACUCUGUGAUUCCAGUGUUACCUACAUGCAGUCUCAAUUUAUGAUUUAGUUCAUCCUUAACUGAGGUUCUGUUUCUUUUUUAGGAGAA